rnacentral:rRNA from 1 species
AGCGAACGCUGGCGGCAGGCUUAACACAUGCAAGUCGAGCGGGCGUAGCAAUACGUCAGCGGCAGACGGGUGAGUAACGCGUGGGAACGUACCUUUUGGUUCGGAACAACACAGGGAAACUUGUGCUAAUACCGGAUAAGCCCUUACGGGGAAAGAUUUAUCGCCGAAAGAUCGGCCCGCGUCUGAUUAGCUAGUUGGUAGGGUAAUGGCCUACCAAGGCGACGAUCAGUAGCUGGUCUGAGAGGAUGAUCAGCCACAUUGGGACUGAGACACGGCCCAAACUCCUACGGGAGGCAGCAGUGGGGAAUAUUGGACAAUGGGGGCAACCCUGAUCCAGCCAUGCCGCGUGAGUGACGAAGGCCCUAGGGUUGUAAAGCUCUUUUGUGCGGGAAGAUAAUGACGGUACCGCAAGAAUAAGCCCCGGCUAACUUCGUGCCAGCAGCCGCGGUAA